UUGAUCCUGGCUCAGGAUGAACGCUGGCGGCGUGCUAAACACAUGCAAGUCGAACGAAGCAUUUACACGGAAUCCCUCGGGAGGAAGUGUGAAUGACUGAGUGGCGGACGGGUGAGUAACGCGUGGGCAACCUGCCCCGUACCGGGGGAUAACAGCCGGAAACGGCUGCUAAUACCGCAUAAGCGCACAGUACCGCAUGGUACGGUGUGAAAAGCUGAGGCGGCAUAGGAUGGGUCCGCGUUGGAUUAGCCAGUUGGCGGGGUAACGGCCCACCAAACCGACGAUCCAUAGCCGACCUGAGAGGGCGACCGGCCACAUUGGGACUGAGACACGGCCCAAACUCCUACGGGAGGCAGCAGUGGGGAAUAUUGCACAAUGGGGGAAACCCUGAUGCAGCGACGCCGCGUGAGUGAGGAAGUAUUUCGGUAUGUAAAGCUCUAUCAGCAGGGAAGAAAAUGACGGUACCUGACUAAGAAGCCCCGGCUAACUACGUGCCAGCAGCCGCGGUAAUACGUAGGGGGCAAGCGUUAUCCGGAUUUACUGGGUGUAAAGGGAGCGUAGACGGACUUGCAAGUCUGAUGUGAAAAUCCGGGGCCCAACCCCGGAACUGCAUUGGAAACUGUAUAUCUAGAGUGUCGGAGAGGCAAGUGGAAUUCCUGGUGUAGCGGUGAAAUGCGUAGAUAUCAGGAGGAACACCAGUGGCGAAGGCGGCUUGCUGGACGAUGACUGACGUUGAGGCUCGAAAGCGUGGGGAGCAAACAGGAUUAGAUACCCUGGUAGUCCACGCCGUAAACGAUGAACACUAGGUGUCCGGGGGGAUUGACCUCUGGGUGCCACAGCGAAAGCGUUAAGUGUUCCACCUGGGGAGUACGCCGGCAACGGUGAAACUCAAAGGAAUUGACGGGGGCCCGCACAAGCGGAGGAACAUGUGGUUUAAUUCGAUGAUACGCGAGGAACCUUACCCGGGCUCAAACGCGGCCGGAAUGAUCCUGAAAGGGGUCAGCCCUACGGGGCCAGCCGCGAGGUGCUGCAUGGUUGUCGUCAGCUCGUGCCGUGAGGUGUCGGCUUAAGUGCCAUAACGAGCGCAACCCCUACCGUCAGUUGCCAGCAGGUAAAGCUGGGGACUCUGGCGGGACUGCCGGCGCAAGCUGUGAGGAAGGCGGGGAUGACGUCAAAUCAGCACGGCCCUUACGUCCGGGGCGACACACGUGUUACAAUGGCAGGUACAGCGGGAAGCCACCUGGCGACAGGGAGCGGAACCCGAAAGCCUGUCUCAGUUCGGAUUGGAGUCUGCAACCCGACUCCAUGAAGCUGGAUUCGCUAGUAAUCGCGCAUCAGCCACGGCGCGGUGAAUACGUUCCCGGGCCUUGCACACACCGCCCGUCA
rnacentral:rRNA from 1 species